rnacentral:rRNA from 1 species
CUAACACAUGCAAGUCGAACGGUAGCACAGAGAGCUUGCUCUCGGGUGACGAGUGGCGGACGGGUGAGUAAUGUCUGGGAAACUGCCUGAUGGAGGGGGAUAACUACUGGAAACGGUAGCUAAUACCGCAUAACGUCGCAAGACCAAAGAGGGGGACCUUCGGGCCUCUUGCCAUCAGAUGUGCCCAGAUGGGAUUAGCUAGUAGGUGGGGUAACGGCUCACCUAGGCGACGAUCCCUAGCUGGUCUGAGAGGAUGACCAGCCACACUGGAACUGAGACACGGUCCAGACUCCUACGGGAGGCAGCAGUGGGGAAUAUUGCACAAUGGGCGCAAGCCUGAUGCAGCCAUGCCGCGUGUAUGAAGAAGGCCUUCGGGUUGUAAAGUACUUUCAGCGGGGAGGAAGGCAGUAAGGUUAAUAACCUU